ensembl:lncRNA
CAAAGUUCAUAUUUUGCUUUAAAACAUCAGACUGUCUGCACAAAUGAGUUUUACAUAGUGCCAUGGAUUUGGAUUAGUGAACUAAUAAAAGUAUCAGAAAAUGGGAAUUUACAAGAAUUGCAAGUGUCCAAUCCAUUCAUCCGAUGUCGUUGAGAUCUGGAAAAGGCAGGUGAUCAUCCUAAACAGCAGCACCCCCAGCGACCAUGCCGUCGCCUGUUUCGCACAGUUCUCGCCCUUCUCAAAGUAUUCAGGGGGACAGUACCUUGCUGUCCCUGAAGGAAAGAGUUUGCCACAUGUCACAUGGAGGGACUACUUGUUUUUAGAUAACACAUUCUACUGUAAGUGAUGUUGGACGAGCUUCUCAAGAGGUCUCCACAGCCGAAAUCGAUCAAUUUGACCUCCGGGGUCUCCGUGCUGGAUGGGGCCUCAUCAUUGACCUGCUCCACCUGAGCCUUGGUGGACUUGGGGCGAGAGAAGCAUGUGAAUAAAGAGGAAAACCACCUGCGAAACCUCCUCUUUUUCUGCCUCUUCUUCUGUUUUCUCUGCCCCUCUCUCUCCCUCACCCACAGGCGUCUCGUCAGGACCCCGUUCACACACUCACCUCCUCUCUCCGAAGUGCAUUUUGAUCAUCGGUUGUGAAUUAUUUGUCUAGUGUUUUGAAAAAUGUCAAGAAGGUUCUUAUAUCAAAGCAAAAAUGAUUGUAAAAGAAAUUGUAAAUCUUGGUUUGAUGAUCAUCUGUCUAAUGCAGUGACAUACAUUUUCAGAGAAGCUGAACGGUCCAUAUACUUUUUACAACACGUAAAAUACACAAAAGUUUCUUCUCGUCUGAAUGUCUUCCAGUAUGUACAGAAUUCACUGAAAUGCUAUUGCAAAACAUAAUAUUGUAGAAUUUUAGUUUGAAGGACAGAACUUAUAUAAAUCAUGUUCCAGUUUUUGAAACCAACAGAAAACAAUCAGAUUUAUUUAAUUAGUAAUUUAUUUUUUAUAUAUUUGUUUAUUUAUUUUUUGCUUAAAACUUUUCUCACGGUCUGUUAGAUGAUUCAUCUGAAGUGGCUGGUGGGAAGCCGGGUUUUUUUCUUUCUUUCUUUCUUUCUUUCUUUUUUUUUCUCUCACAGCCACAUGAUGGUGCAAGACAUUGCUAACAUUAUAAAAAUUAUGUGCAUCCUCCCACCAGGCUAAAUCUCAGAAAUUGCCUGUUUAAUGUUCUUCUUCUUUUCUUGUCUUUCCUCAUGUCUUUUGUAAAAGGGCUUUCUUGGAUGACUGUUAUAAAUACUGGUGUUUUGUUCAGUUUAAAUAUAAGAGGGCAGUAGGUCAUAGCAGUAUUUACUCAGCAGACCUUCCUGAAGGGCCAACAGAAGCCUUAAAGGGAUAGAUCACCCAAAAAUAAAAAUCCUGUCUUUAUUUUCUCACCCUAAAGUUGCUCCAAACCUGAGUUUCUUCCUGAAGAAUUUUAAUUUUGGGGUGAACUAUGGCUUUAAGAUUUUUUUUUUAGUCUCUCUCACUUUUUUUGACUAUACAAUAAAUGUGUAUAUUUAUUAAUAUGUUGUAUUUGGGACAUAUAUAGAAAGAAACAAUGAAAG